rnacentral:rRNA from 1 species
CAAACCAAAGCUGGCGACCGGCGCACGGGUGAGUAACACGUAUCCAACCUGCCUCAUACUCGGGGAUAGCCUUUCGAAAGAAAGAUUAAUAUCCGAUAGCAUAUAUUUCCCGCAUGGGUUUUAUAUUAAAGAAAUUCGGUAUGAGAUGGGGAUGCGUUCCAUUAGUUUGUUGGGGGGUAACGGCCCACCAAGACUACGAUGGAUAGGGGUUCUGAGGGGAAGGUCCCCCACAUUGGAACUGAGACACGGUCCAA